GACAGAGGAUGCAAGCGUUAUCGGAAUGAUUGGGCGUAAAGCGUGCGCAGGCGGUUUUGUAAGUCUGUCGUGAAAGCCCCGGGCUCAACCUGGGAAUUGCGAUGGAGACUGCAAGGCUUGAAUCUGGCAGAGGGGGGGUAGAAUUCCACGUGUAGCAGUGAAAAUGCGUAGAGAUGUGGAGGAACACCGAUGGCGAAGGCAGCCCCCCUGGGUCAAGAUUGACGCUCAUGCACGAAAGCGUGGGGAGCGAACAGG
rnacentral:rRNA from 1 species